rnacentral:rRNA from 1 species
AUUGAACGCUGGCGGCAGGCCUAACACAUGCAAGUCGAGCGGAUGACGGGAGCUUGCUCCUUGAUUCAGCGGCGGACGGGUGAGUAAUGCCUAGGAAUCUGCCUGGUAGUGGGGGACAACGUUUCGAAAGGAACGCUAAUACCGCAUACGUCCUACGGGGGAAAGCAGGGGACCUUCGGGCCUUGCGCUAUCAGAUGAGCCUAGGUCGGAUUAGCUUGUUGGUGAGGUAAUGGCUCACCAAGGCGACGAUCCGUAACUGGUCUGAGAGGAUGAUCAGUCACACUGGAACUGAGACACGGUCCAGACUCCUACGGGAGGCAGCAGUGGGGAAUAUUGGACAAUGGGCGAAAGCCUGAUCCAGCCAUGCCGCGUGUGUGAAGAAGGUCUUCGGAUUGUAAAGCACUUUAAGUUGGGAGGAAGGGUUGUAGAUUAAUACUCUGCAAUUUUGACGUUACCGACAGAAUAAGCACCGGCUAACUCUGUG